rnacentral:rRNA from 1 species
CUCGUAGGCGGUUUGUCGCGUCUGCUGUGAAAACCCGAGGCUCAACCUCGGGCCUGCAGUGGGUACGGGCAGACUAGAGUGCGGUAGGGGAGACCGGAAUUCCUGGUGUAGCGGUGGAAUGCGCAGAUAUCAGGAGGAACACCGAUGGCGAAGGCAGGUCUCUGGGCCGCAACUGACGCUGAGGAGCGAAAGCAUGGGUAGCGAACA